CUGAAUACUGCAAGGGACAAUAAAUCGCACAGUGAGAGAGAGAGUGAGAGAGAAAAAAAUAGGAAAGGGGAGGGGGAAUCAAGAAAGAAAUGUCAUUUAAGAGACACUCGCUGCAAGGUUUGACAGUUCGGGGCCGUCAUUUUGUAGCAGAACACUGGUUUGGUGUAUCUCAGGUUUUUGAAUGCAUCUCACUCCUUUCCCCCUCAACUCCCUCCCAUUCAGUGCUAAUUGUUGGGGUCGUUGUCCCCAUGAAUUAACAUUUUUGAUCAUCUCACAAUCUAACAGCCUCAAAAAUGGCUCCCAGCAGGACAUCAAGCAAUGAUGAAUAUAACAAAAAGAAAAGAAAGUGCUAGAGUAUCUCACUUGCUAUGAAAUUAUGUUAUACAGUGUUUUACAAUGAGGUAGCAAAAGCACUUGACUUGCUACACUCAACUGUGUGGCAAGAAGUUAAUGAAGACAAUUUAUCAAGAAGUUAAUGAAGACAAUUUAUCAAGAAGUUAAUGAAGACAAUUUAUCAAGAAGUUAAUGAAGACAUUUUAUCAAGAAGUUAAUGAAGACAUUUUAUCAAGAAGUUAAUGACGAAAUUUUUUUCGAAAUUAUUCCUAUAGCACUGCAUUUUAAAGAUUGGAAAAAUGUUUGCUAUAUGGAUUGAAGAUCAGAGUCACCACACCAUUCUAAUACGCCUUGUGACAAUAACACACAAGUUGAAAGCGCUUUAUGAAGAUGAAGGGAAUUAAAAAGAACAAAAAUAAAUGACUGUAAAACAGCUUGCCUAGCAUUUCUACCACGUGGAUGCAGCACUUGGCUUUGUUGGUCAUGCCUCUAGCUUCUCUGUGAAUGGGCUAGCAUUAACCCCUCCAUUGUCACUUAUCUAGCAUUUCUCUAACUUUUCAGUGAGCUUGGUAUGUCUGUUUUAUAUUACUGUGGAUAAUAAUAUACAUAACUUCUCUAAUCAA